rnacentral:rRNA from 1 species
UACGUAGGGUGCAAGCGUUGUCCGGAAUUAUUGGGCGUAAAGAGCUCGUAGGCGGUCUGUCGCGUCGGCUGUGAAAUCCCGAGGCUCAACCUCGGGUCUGCAGUCGAUACGGGCAAACUAGAGUAUUGCAGGGGAGACUGGAAUUCCUGGUGUAGCGGUGAAAUGCGCAGAUAUCAGGAGGAACACCGGUGGCGAAGGCGGGUCUCUGGGCAAUAACUGACGCUGAGGAGCGAAAGCGCGGGGAGCGAACAGG